CGCUGGCGGCGUGCCUAAUACAUGCAAGUCGAACGAACUCUGGUAUUGAUUGGUGCUUGCAUCAUGAUUUACAUUUGAGUGAGUGGCGAACUGGUGAGUAACACGUGGGAAACCUGCCCAGAAGCGGGGGAUAACACCUGGAAACAGAUGCUAAUACCGCAUAACAACUUGGACCGCAUGGUCCGAGCUUGAAAGAUGGCUUCGGCUAUCACUUUUGGAUGGUCCCGCGGCGUAUUAGCUAGAUGGUGGGGUAACGGCUCACCAUGGCAAUGAUACGUAGCCGACCUGAGAGGGUAAUCGGCCACAUUGGGACUGAGACACGGCCCAAACUCCUACGGGAGGCAGCAGUAGGGAAUCUUCCACAAUGGACGAAAGUCUGAUGGAGCAACGCCGCGUGAGUGAAGAAGGGUUUCGGCUCGUAAAACUCUGUUGUUAAAGAAGAACAUAUCUGAGAGUAACUGUUCAGGUAUUGACGGUAUUUAACCAGAAAGCCACGGCUAACUACGUGCCAGCAGCCGCGGUAAUACGUAGGUGGCAAGCGUUGUCCGGAUUUAUUGGGCGUAAAGCGAGCGCAGGCGGUUUUUUAAGUCUGAUGUGAAAGCCUUCGGCUCAACCGAAGAAGUGCAUCGGAAACUGGGAAACUUGAGUGCAGAAGAGGACAGUGGAACUCCAUGUGUAGCGGUGAAAUGCGUAGAUAUAUGGAAGAACACCAGUGGCGAAGGCGGCUGUCUGGUCUGUAACUGACGCUGAGGCUCGAAAGUAUGGGUAGCAAACAGGAUUAGAUACCCUGGUAGUCCAUACCGUAAACGAUGAAUGCUAAGUGUUGGAGGGUUUCCGCCCUUCAGUGCUGCAGCUAACGCAUUAAGCAUUCCGCCUGGGGAGUACGGCCGCAAGGCUGAAACUCAAAGGAAUUGACGGGGGCCCGCACAAGCGGUGGAGCAUGUGGUUUAAUUCGAAGCUACGCGAAGAACCUUACCAGGUCUUGACAUACUAUGCAAAUCUAAGAGAUUAGACGUUCCCUUCGGGGACAUGGAUACAGGUGGUGCAUGGUUGUCGUCAGCUCGUGUCGUGAGAUGUUGGGUUAAGUCCCGCAACGAGCGCAACCCUUAUUAUCAGUUGCCAGCAUUAAGUUGGGCACUCUGGUGAGACUGCCGGUGACAAACCGGAGGAAGGUGGGGAUGACGUCAAAUCAUCAUGCCCCUUAUGACCUGGGCUACACACGUGCUACAAUGGAUGGUACAACGAGUUGCGAACUCGCGAGAGUAAGCUAAUCUCUUAAAGCCAUUCUCAGUUCGGAUUGUAGGCUGCAACUCGCCUACAUGAAGUCGGAAUCGCUAGUAAUCGCGGAUCAGCAUGCCGCGGUGAAUACGUUCCCGGGCCUUGUACACACCGCCCGUCACACCAUGAGAGUUUGUAACACCCAAAGUCGGUGGGGUAACCUUUUAGGAACCAGCCGCCUAAGGUGGGACAGAUGAUUAGGG
rnacentral:rRNA from 2 species